rnacentral:pre_miRNA from 1 species
AACAGAAUUGCUGGGUCAUAUGGUAUUUCUACACUGAACUUUUUGAGAAACCACCAAACUGUUUUCCACAGUGGCUAUACUACUUUUUGUUCCCACCAGCAAG